AGCGAACGCUGGCGGCAGGCCUAACACAUGCAAGUCGAACGAACCUUUCGGGGUUAGUGGCGGACGGGUGAGUAACACGUGGGAACGUGCCUUUAGGUUCGGAAUAACUCAGGGAAACUUGUGCUAAUACCGAAUGUGCCCUUCGGGGGAAAGAUUUAUCGCCUUUAGAGCGGCCCGCGUCUGAUUAGCUAGUUGGUUGAGGUAAUGGCUCACCAAGGCGACGAUCAGUAGCUGGUCUGAGAGGAUGAUCAGCCACAUUGGGACUGAGACACGGCCCAAACGCCUGAGGGAGUCAAGUGUGGCGAGUCUUGCGACAAGGGCGAAACCCGGACGACGCGAGUGGAAGAGUGAGAAGAAGGUCGUAGUAUUACACAUUUCUUCCGCGGGGGAAGAGAAGGCCAUUCCCCGGGGAAGAAGCCCCGGCCCACUCGGUGCCAGCCGCCGCGGUGAGAGAGGACCAACACCCUUCAGAAC
rnacentral:rRNA from 1 species